AUUGAACGCUGGCGGCAUGCUUUACACAUGCAAGUCGAACGGUAACAGGCCGCAAGGUGCUGACGAGUGGCGAACGGGUGAGUAAUGCAUCGGAACGUGCCCAGUCGUGGGGGAUAACGCAGCGAAAGCUGCGCUAAUACCGCAUACGAACUAUGGAUGAAAGCGGGGGAUCGUAAGGCCUCGCGCGAUUGGAGCGGCCGAUGUCAGAUUAGGUAGUUGGUGGGGUAAAGGCUCACCAAGCCAACGAUCUGUAGCUGGUCUGAGAGGACGACCAGCCACACUGGGACUGAGACACGGCCCAGACUCCUACGGGAGGCAGCAGUGGGGAAUUUUGGACAAUGGGCGCAAGCCUGAUCCAGCAAUGCCGCGUGCAGGAAGAAGGCCUUCGGGUUGUAAACUGCUUUUGUACGGAACGAAACGGUCCUGGUUAAUACCUGGGGCUAAUGACGGUACCGUAAGAAUAAGCACCGGCUAACUACGUGCCAGCAGCCGCGGUAAGAC
rnacentral:rRNA from 1 species